CCGUGUGUGGCGCAAGUGGAAAGCGCAACUGCUUUGGGAGCAGAGGGUUGCAGGUUCGAGUCCUGCUGCACGGACCA
rnacentral:tRNA from 2 species